UACGUAGGGUGCAAGCGUUAAUCGGAAUUACUGGGCGUAAAGCGUGCGCAGGCGGUUUUGUAAGUUUGUCGUGAAAGCCCCGGGCUCAACCUGGGAAUGGCGAUGAAGACUGCAAGGCUUGAAUCUGGCAGAGGGGGGGUAGAAUUCCACGUGUAGCAGUGAAAUGCGUAGAGAUGUGGAGGAACACCGAUGGCGAAGGCAGCCCCCCUGGGUCAAGAUUGACGCUCACGUGCACGAAAGCGUGGGGAGCGAACAGG
rnacentral:rRNA from 1 species